rnacentral:rRNA from 1 species
GACGAACGCUGGCGGCGUGCUUAACACAUGCAAGUCGAGCGGUAAGGCCCUUUCGGGGGUACGACGAGCGGCGAACGGGUGAGUAACACGUGGGUGACCUGCCCUCAGCUCUGGGAUAAGCCCGGGAAACUGGGUCUAAUACCGGAUAUGACUCCAUGACGCAUGUUGUGGGGUGGAAANCCUUGUGCGGCUGAGGAUGGGCCCGCGGCCUAUCAGCUUGUUGGUGGGGUGAUGGCCACCAAGGCGACGACGGGUAGCCGGCCUGAGAGGGCGACCGGCCACACUGGGGACUGAGAUACGGCCCCAGACUCCUACGGGAGGCAGCAGGUGGGGAAUCUUGCGCAAUGGGCGAAANCCUGACGCAGCGACGCCGCGUGAGGGAUGA